GCUCUUCACUCAUCCACAUUCUGUGCCGUGACUGCAGGUGUUAGAACACAGGACCCCGAAAACGAAAAGCCAUCAGAGGACUCAGAGCAGAGAACCAUUAACUCUGCUCCAGGAAGUCAGGCACUGGGCCUGAACGCGGCAGUUCUGGAUUCCGAGGAGGAGGAAAUGGUGCUUAGUCAGAGCCUAAGCUGACACACGGUGCUUCUAGCAGCUCUGGCCUCCCACGGACCGUGACGAAACACAGCAGUGGGCAGGAAGAGAGUCCGUUUCUCCCCCUGGGAAAUGCCUCGAGCCUUUUCCCUCUUCCACCUCUCCCAGCACGAACAGGGAGUCGGGCGUAUUCGGACAGAAAGCCCAGCCGCCCGCGUGGACUUGCUCGUCAGCCACGUGGAAGGCGCUGAAUGAGAUCACCCCUCACUCCAAGACCCUCCUGGCUCCUCUUCCCGUCCUUCUUGCCAUGGCAGGCACAGCCCGCUGGUUCCCAGUCUGAGGGCUGAGUCUGCCAGAAAUCGGCUUUCACCAGCAGGCGAGCGCUUCCAGAGUGCGUUCUGGACAGUCUGAGCUGGGUGAGCAAAGCCAUGGCCUGGACAUUCUGGGAGCAGCUCUUGGAGCAGGGGAGUGGAGUCCUAACUGGGCAGCCCCUCGGCCUCCAGAGCCUGCUCCUGGCCGGCAGAGGGAAGGCGGGAGUGGCCCCGGUCAGAGGAUGUGGUUUUCACUCUCUGAAUGUUCUAGGUGAUGAAAAACCUCAUUGCAGGCUGCUUUCCUCUUUGUGGGCAUGCUUAUAUGACAACCCAUCUCCUGUGGACCGCACUGUGGAAUACGCCCCCAAACUGAACUGACCUCGUUGUCUCAGACAGACAAUCAUAAUGAAAUACCCAACUGUAGGAUGUUUCACGUUGAACGUUUUGUGCAAUUAAAAAAAAUUAACAUCUCAUUUUCUGUAUGGUGGUAUGAUUUCCGACUUUUAUUUCUUUAGAAGCGUUCUUUAUUCUAAGGAUAGCUUUUCCUAAAACUUUUAGAGUUUAAAAUGUCCUUUUAUAAACCACUAAUGGUGAUAUUAGAUUUUUUUUAAUGUUCUUACCU